GUUUCUCUCUCCUCGCGUCCUUUUCCUCUCUCCGGCUCUUCGCGUGCCCUAGCUCUUCCUCUCUGCAAUUGCGCCGUGCCGUGCCCUAGCCGCUUCAUCUGUGUGAUCGAUUGAUGGAUAAUCAGUUUUGCUGAAUGAUAGCUUGCGGCGUGCAGCAAAGAACUAGUGCCACUGGUGGAUCAUCUUGAAGAGGUUCUUGGUAGUAAUCAUGUUAGGAGGAGUAAGUUAUGGAAUAAUGGAAGUUGGUUUGUGCUGAUAGAGCACGAGAGGAAGAGGCCGUGCUGCGUGAUGGAGUGCCAGAAGUUGUUCGUUGAUGAGUGUAUGCGCACACUGCACAGAGUGAGGGUCUCUCUCUGAGAGUGGUGGUGCAGGUCCUCUUCUCUGAGCAGUUUAAGAUAAGCAAUCCGGUUUCCAUGAAAGAGGGUGGGGAGUCACUGUACCAGCCCAUGGUGCCAAACCGGAAGACAUUUUUGAAGGGAACUCCUCAAUCAUUUCAAGAAGGAUAGACAACGGCAAAGAAGGACAUCAACACUCUCAAGUUCAAGCUGGAGACUGUCAAGACCAAGUAUUUGGAGCUUCAGAACGACAUGGAGACAUUGCAACGUGACUUCAACAAGCUGGCCAAGCCCAAGCAGACGUCGGCAUGAACAUCCAGAUGGACAAAAUUCAACAAGCUUACGAAGAUGGCAGACGGCAAUGACAAAGGAUCCCGGCUGCCAACUACUAGAAGAUGGAGAAACUCCAUUUCUUGAAUUGCUUUGCUAGUACUGCUGUUGUUAUUUCUACAUGUGAUUUCUGUUUAGACUGUUUAGAGAUGCAAUAUUGACAUGAUUUUCAUUGUUGAUAAUAGAAAUUAAUUAUCAUUGCUUA